CGGCUAUGGUCUGGACCUGAUUCUGGACGCGCUCGAAGCCCGUCGCAGGUAAUCCCGGCACGGGAUGUUCGCGGGAUCGUGACCUGCGUGGUCGGC
rnacentral:tRNA from 1 species